GCGCGAGCCGCGCGCUCCCGCCGCCCGCGUCGCCAUCUUUUUCCCCCUCCGUCUGUCUGUCUGCUGUUGGCUUUGUCCGUCUGCAGCGCCGCCCCUCGGCUCCCCGCCACCGGCUCGGCUCGGCCCGGAGCCCCUUCCGCUCGCCGGGGCCCAGUCCCGGAGCGCCCCGGCCCGGCUGGCUUGGGCUGCGGUCCCGGGUCCAUUGUCCGGCGGUCCGUCUGUCCGGAGGCGGGGCCCAGGGACCCAGAGCGCAGCGCAGCGCCGAGGCGCCGGGUAAAAAGACCCCCUGCCCUCCCUCCGGGUCCGGGCUGGGGAUGCGGGCUCCUCGCCCCCUCGCGGCCGCCGGCUGUUGGUCCUUUUGUCUGCACUGGGGAGAGGGCCGGGGGCCAGCUCCGGCCUAGGGGGGCAGCCCGGGCUCACCCUCCCCGCUUCCAACCCCAAUUCCUCCCCGGCCGCUCCUCCUGCUGCCCCUUGGCGCUCUCGGGCGCGGGGCGCGGGGUGCGGGGCCGGGGGGCUUUUGCGCGGGCCGCGGGCACCCCGCCUCCUCGGGCCCCGGCGGGGACGGCCCCGGCGUCUGACAGCCUUGGGUGGAGCUGGGGGAGGGGAGGAUGGGCGUGGGCGUGCAGACCGGGGGGUAUCAGUCCCCGCGUCUGGGUCUCGCAGAAAAGCUUCUAAAUUUAGAUUUCGGAGAUUGUGUUGUCUAAGGGUUUGUCUGAGCCGCCUCGGAAGACCUCCGGCUCUUGUCAGGCUCUUGUCUGGUAAUUCCUGGGAAUUUACCUGGGCUCAUGCUUGAAGAAGCAGAGGGACCAUCUCGGCUGAUUAGACACGCCCCAGACCCAACCCCAGGGGUCAGGUGAACAGCCAGGCGGCUAAGUGACCAGCUUUCUUGUCCUCUCCUUUUUGGCAGAUACAGAUCACUUGGAUUCAGUCGAGUUUGCUUUGCUCCGUGGGAACUGCACCAGAGCUGGAGGUGGGAACGCACUCUCUUUUCAUCAAGCUGAGAUUUCACUCGUUUUUUUUCUUGCCAAAGUCUGUGGUGUGCCCUAGACGCUGCAACCUAAUACCUGUGGGAGAGCAGAGACAGUGUUCAGGGGAGACGUUGCACCUUCCCGAGGACUCUUAACCUUGCUCUGAAGACAGACAGAACUGCUUUCCUUUUAAAAUGGAAUCCCUUUAGACCUGAAUCUCACCGUUUACCUGUCUUCCCAGCCCAUGUUCAGGCAGCUAUCUAUUUACAUUUUUGGUUUGGUUUGGUUUCAGGUUUUGGCUUGGAAAUUGAGGCAGUGUUAAAAGUAAAACAAAAUGAGUGACCUUUAGGGCUGUAUGUCUCUGGGUUUUAUUAGCUUUAACUGCCUAUAAAACAAGUCAUCUGGCCUCUGAGAUCUUGCUUUGUGGUCAAGAGUGUCCUUUCAGCGCCAUUUAUUUAUUUACUUAUUGAUUUUCAACAGCCCAUGACCCCACAGGCCUGUUUUUGUGGGUGUUUUUGUUAUUAUUUUCGUUUCGUUGUGUGGGAGGGGACUGUAAUUGCUUAUUUUUCUCUUGAUCACUCAGGUGUGAAGUCCCAUUGGGUACCAUCUGGUCAGUUCCCCAUUUGGCCACUAGGAGGAUUAUAAGAUGCAGCGGGCAUUGCUGAUUUAAAUACGCAGACACUCAUCUCUGUCUUUUGACUUGGAGCUUUAAUAUUGAAAUGUUGUCUGGUUCAAAUUAUUUGGCCUUCCUUCAGAAGGGACUUUAUUACCUUUAUCUUACAGUUUCAGUUUCUGAUCUUGAAGGGAGAAAAUAUAAAAAUUAGUCAAGAUUCUGUUUUUUCUUCUAUAAUAGAGUAUAUAUAUAUUUAGCCUCAAUAGAUUAUCACAUUAGAGGAGUAUAUUUUAUUUUUUUAAAUUUUUAUUUAUCUUUUUUUUUUUUUUUUGAGACGGAGUCUCGUUCUGUCGCCCAGGCUGGAGUGCAGUGGUGCGUUCUUGGCUCACUGCAACCUCCGCCUCCCGGGUUCAAGCAAUUCCCUGCCUCAACCUCCUGAGUAGCUGAGAUUACAGACAUGCAUCACCACGCCCAGCUAGUUUUUGUAUUUUUAGUACAGACGGGGUUUCCCCAUAUUGGCCAGGCUGGUCUCAAACUCCUGGCCUCAAGUGAUCUGCCUGCCUUGGCCUCCCAAAGUGUUGGGAUUACAGGCGUGAGCCACGGUGCCUGGCCAUAUUUUUAAAAAUAUUAAUAGAGCCUGCAUUUCAUUACCUUUCCACUUGGUGAUUCCACACACAUAUAGGAAAUCCAAAGUGUGAUAUUCAUUCACUGCUUCCGUGAAUAAAACAACUACUUGAUUAGAAAAAAAUGAC
rnacentral:lncRNA from 1 species